UACGUAGGUGACAAGCGUUGUCCGGAUUUACUGGGCGUAAAGAGCGCGCAGGCGGUCGUUCAAGUCGAGUGUGAAAGCCCCCGGCUCAACUGGGGAGGGUCAUUCGAUACUGAUCGACUCGAAGGCAGGAGAGGGAAGUGGAAUUCCCGGUGUAGUGGUGAAAUGCGUAGAUAUCGGGAGGAACACCAGUGGCGAAGGCGACUUCCCGCGUGUCUUGUC
rnacentral:rRNA from 1 species